UACAGAGGUCUCAAGCGUUGUUCGGAUUCAUUGGGCGUAAAGGGUGCGUAGGUGGCGCCGUAAGUCAGGUGUGAAAUCUCGGGCUUAACUCCGAAACUGCAUUCGAUACUGGCGUGCUUGAGGACUGGAGAGGAGAUGGAAUUUACGGUGUAGCAGUGAAAUGCGUAGAUAUCGAUAAGGAAGACCAGUGGCGAAAGGCGGGUCU
rnacentral:rRNA from 1 species